GAAAUGCGAUAAGUAAUGUGAAUUGCAGAAUUCAGUGAAUCAUCGAAUCUUUGAACGCACCUUGCGCUCCUUGGCAUUCCGAGGAGCAUGCCUGUUUGAGUGUCAUUGAAUCUCUCUCAGAAUCCUUCCCGGGGUUUGGAUUUGUGGAGGAUGCAUUGCUACCCAAAAUGCUGGGUUUGCGCUUGCUUCUCUGAAAUGGAUUGGCAUCAAGGCGGCAAUUUACGUCGGUAUGAUACAAUCAAUGUCUUACCUGCUCGUGACCCAUGCCGGCCCAGCCAGAAAUGACGAUGGUCAGUCAGUCUCACACAAUUUGACCUCAAAUCAGGCAGGACUACCCGCUGAACUUAA
rnacentral:misc_RNA from 1 species